GGGUGAAGAAGGCAUCCUGGCAUACACGGAAGUCAAAACGGUUGUGACGAAUAUAACGGAGAAGAAUUCGUGAACAUUCACUGGCGGUAGCUUUUGCAACUCACGCUGCCUUACAAUUUUUGCUAGUUUUUAUAAUAAGCUCGCUUAGAAUAAACUUUUUCACCAUUUCCGUGCAA
rnacentral:lncRNA from 1 species